rnacentral:rRNA from 1 species
ACGAACGCUGGCGGCAUGCCUAACACAUGCAAGUCGAACGAGACCUUCGGGUCUAGUGGCGCACGGGUGCGUAACGCGUGGGAACCUGCCCUUAGGUUCGGAAUAACUCCCCGAAAGGGGUGCUAAUACCGGAUAAUGUCUUCGGACCAAAGAUUUAUCGCCUUUGGAUGGGCCCGCGUUGGAUUAGCUAGUUGGUAGGGUAAAAGCCUACCAAGGCGACGAUCCAUAGCUGGUCUGAGAGGAUGAUCAGCCACACUGGGACUGAGACACGGCCCAGACUCCUACGGGAGGCAGCAGUGGGGAAUAUUGGACAACGGGCGAAAGCCUGAUCCAGCAAUGCCGCGUGAGUGAUGAAGGCCUUAGGGUUGUAAAGCUCUUUUACCCGGGAUGAUAAUGACAGUACCGGGAGAAUAAGCUCCGGCUAACUCCGUG